rnacentral:rRNA from 1 species
GCAUAUCAAUAAGCGGAGGAAAAGAAACCAACAGGGAUUGCCCUAGUAACGGCGAGUGAAGCGGCAACAGCUCAAAUUUGAAAUCUGGCUCUUUUAGAGUCCGAGUUAUAAUUUGCAGAGGGCGCUUUGGCUUUGGCAGCGGUCCAAGUUCCUUGGAACAGGACGUCACAGAGGGUGAGAAUCCCGUACGUGGUCGCUGGCUAUUGCCGUGUAAAGCCCCUUCGACGAGUCGAGUUGUUUGGGAAUGCAGCUCUAAAUGGGAGGUACAUUUCUUCUAAAGCUAAAUAUUGGCCAGAGACCGAUAGCGCACAAGUAGAGUGAUCGAAAGAUGAAAAGCACUUUGGAAAGAGAGUCAAACAGCACGUGAAAUUGUUGAAAGGGAAGCGCUUGCAGCCAGACUUGCUUACAGUUGCUCAUCCGGGUUUCUACCCGGUGCACUCUUCUGUAGGCAGGCCAGCAUCAGUUUGGGCGGUAGGAUAAAGGUCUCUGUCACGUACCUCCUUUCGGGGAGGCCUUAUAGGGGAGACGACAUACUACCAGCCUGGACUGAGGUCCGCGCAUCUGCUAGGAUGCUGGCGUAAUGGCUGUAAGCGGCCCGUCUUGAAACACGGACC